rnacentral:tRNA from 1 species
GCGCCUGAAGUGUUACCCGGAUGCACAUCAGACUUCCAAUCUGAAGGUACGGGUUCAAGUCCCGUUAGGCGCUCCG